AACGAACGCUGGCGGCAUGCCUAACACAUGCAAGUCGAACGAAGUCUUCGGACUUAGUGGCGCACGGGUGCGUAACGCGUGGGAAUCUGCCCUUGGGUGCGGAAUAACUUCUCGAAAGGGAUGCUAAUACCGCAUAAUGUCGUAAGACCAAAGAUUUAUCGCCCAAGGAUGAGCCCGCGUAAGAUUAGCUAGUUGGUGGGGUAAAAGCCUACCAAGGCGACGAUCUUUAGCUGGUCUGAGAGGAUGAUCAGCCACACUGGGACUGAGACACGGCCCAGACUCCUACGGGAGGCAGCAUGGGGAAUAUUGGACAAUGGGCGAAAGCCUGAUCCAGCAAUGCCGCGUGAGUGAUGAAAGGCCCUAGGGUUGUAAAGCUCUUUUACCAGGGAUGAUAAUGACAGUACCUGG
rnacentral:rRNA from 1 species